GAUGAACGCUGGCGGCGUGCCUAAUACAUGCAAGUCGAGCGAACGGACGAGAAGCUUGCUUCUCUGAUGUUAGCGGCGGACGGGUGAGUAACACGUGGAUAACCUACCUAUAAGACUGGGAUAACUUCGGGAAACCGGAGCUAAUACCGGAUAAUAUUUUGAACCGCAUGGUUCAAAAGUGAAAGACGGUCUUGCUGUCACUUAUAGAUGGAUCCGCGCUGCAUUAGCUAGUUGGUAAGGUAACGGCUUACCAAGGCAACGAUGCAUAGCCGACCUGAGAGGGGGGUCGCCCACCCGGAACCUGAGACACGGUCCAGACUCCUAGGGGGGGCAGCAAGAGGAAAUUUGCCGCAAUGGGGGAAAGCCUAACGGAGCAACGCCGGGGGAGUGAUGAAGGUUUUCGGAUCUAAAAACUCUUUUAUUGGGGAAAAAAAUAUGGGAAAGUAACUGUGCCAAUCUUGACGGUACCAAAACAAAAAGCCCCGGCAAACUCCGG
rnacentral:rRNA from 1 species